CUACGCACUCCUACGGGAGGCAGCAGUGGGGAAUAUUGCACAAUGGGCGCAAGCCUGAUGCAGCCAUGCCGCGUGUAUGUAAGAAGGCCUUCGGGUUGUAAAGUACUUUCAGCAGUGAGGAAGGUGGGUAUGUUAAUAGCAUACUCAUUUGACGUUUAGCUGCAGAAGAAGCACCGGCUAACUCCGUGCCAGCAGCCGCGGUAAUACGGAGGGUGCGAGCGUUAAUCGGAAUUACUGGGCGUAAAGCGCAUGCAGGUGGUUUGUUAAGUCAGAUGUGAAAGCCCGGGGCUCAACCUCGGAAUUGCAUUUGAAACUGGCAAACUAGAGUACUGUAGAGGGGGUAGAAUUUCAGGUGUAGCGGUGAAAUGCGUAGAGAUCUGAAGGAAUACCGGUGGCGAAGGCGGCCCCCUGGACAGAUACUGACACUCAGAUGCGAAAGCGUGGGGAGCAAACAGGAUUAGAUACCCUGGUAG
rnacentral:rRNA from 1 species